GCGGCUGUGGCGGAACUGGCAGACGCGCUAGAUUUAGGUUCUAGUGGGGCAACCCGUGGAGGUUCGAGUCCUCCCAGCCGCA
rnacentral:tRNA from 1 species